AUUGAAAUCUACUAAAUUGAUAUUAUAUUAAAUUAUUUAAUCAGCUGUCACAACUAGAAGCGAAUAACCGAACACAAUUUCAAGGCUAAUCGCAGGUUAAGACGCUUAACAGCGACUGUCAACCUUGACACGCAAUAUUUAAAUUUUGACAAGGACGAAACCCAAACAACUGGUCACAUUCCCAGUGGGCGUGUAACUCGUCCAACUGCAUUCAUGGUCAAGUUUCCAGAUGCCAGUUGCCAACUGCCAGCUGCUUCGUUCCACGUUCCUGCUGCUUCUGUCCACGCCCCUGCCGCUGUCAACGCCCCUGCCUUUGACUUUUGCUGCCUGACUAGCAGGGGCUCAUUUGGCUAAUAGAACAAUUAUCGACGCCUACCGGAGUUUGACGACAAGCUGCAUGGGGUGUUACAUAAACCUCACACUCGCUCAUAAUGCUGAUGUUAAUGAUAACGUUAAUGAUAAUGAUGAUGAUAAUGAUGAUGAUAAUGAUGGACAGCAAAAGCAACAACAAACAUAUCAGCUGAAACAGGUUCAAGACUCAAAAUUUAUUUGUUGUUAAUUGAACACAUAAAAAUAGAAAAUUUAUACUCCUAUACUAUGUUCUGGAAUAUACUACGUAAUGCUCAGAGUUAAAAUGAUA